AGAGUACUCCCUCCGUCCGAAAAUAUUUAUCAUCAAAAUAAAUAAAAGAAAUGUAUAUAGAUGUAUUUUAGUUCUAGAUACGUCCUUUUUUGUCCAUUUUGAUGACAAGUAUUUUCAGACGGAAAGAGUAUUAC
rfam:Triticum aestivum genome assembly, contig: Triticum_aestivum_CS42_TGACv1_scaffold_194505_3AL